rnacentral:misc_RNA from 1 species
AAGGGAGGUUGCUGCCAUGGAGAAGGAGGUGUCUGCCAUGCGGGUUGAGAAAGACCAAGAGAAUAGAGCCAAAAGAUUUGCAAAUUCAAAGGGUCCAGUGAGCAGUUCUCAGCUGCCUCCAGGAAGAAAUGUAGCUCGAAGUGGGUUAACACGCAACAUUCAAUAACAAUAAGAGGAAACUCCAACUACUACAGCUCUGAGAAGAUAUUCUGCAUAGACUUGCUGUAUUCCUAGUCUACUUGACAACUCUACUAUUUUCCACUAAUGGUUUAUUGUAAAAUUGUAACAAAGCAUGCCAAUGACUAUAUGAUCGAAGUCUAUCCAAACACUGGAAAAGGCCGGUAGAUGAAAUGUGGUGUGCUUCUGACUUUGACUAUGAUCCCCUUCUGCUUAGAUAUCAGCUUGGAAAGGUACUCAAGUUAUCAAAGUUGAGCUAACUUUUUCGCCGAACAGCUUGAGUAGCAGUGGUGGUGUGGUUGUAUAGGUAGCUCUUGGCAUUUACUUUGCUCUAUACUCUUUUUCUCAACUUGUUUGCAGUCUAUAUUUGUAAU